rnacentral:rRNA from 1 species
CAGCAGCCGCGGUAAUACGUAGGUGGCAAGCGUUGUCCGGAAUUAUUGGGCGUAAAGGGCUCGCAGGCGGUUUCUUAAGUCUGAUGUGAGAGCCCCCGGCUCAACCGGGGAGGGUCAUUGGAGACUGGGAAACUUGAGUGCAGAAGAGGAGAGUGGAAUUCCACGUGUAGCGGUGAAAUGCGUAGAGAUGUGGAGGAACACCAGUGGCGAAGGCGACUCUCUGGUCUGUAACUGACGCUGAGGAGCGAAAGCGUGGGGAGCAAACAGGAUUAGAUACCCGCGUAGUCCCUGUCUCUUAUAC